GCCUCCGGGGAGUAGUGGUGAGCACGCUCGAAUCGUAUGCGAGCGGGCCGUGGUUCGAGUCCCGGCGAAGGCG
rnacentral:tRNA from 1 species